AUUGAACGCUGGCGGCAGGCCUAACACAUGCAAGUCGAACGGUAACAGGAAGAAGCUUGCUUCUUUGCUGACGAGUGGCGGACGGGUGAGUCAUGUCUGGGAAACUGCCUGAUGGAGGGGGAUAACUACUGGAAACGGUAGCUAAUACCGCAUAACGUCGCAAAACCAAAGAGGGGGACCUUCGGGCCUCUUGCCAUCGGAUGUGCCCAGAUGGGAUUAGCUAGUAGGUGGGGUAACGGCUCACCUAGGCGACGAUCCCUAGCUGGUCUGAGAGGAUGACCAGCCACACUGGAACUGAGACACGGUCCAGACUCCUACGGGAGGCAGCAGUGGGGAAUAUUGCACAAUGGGCGCAAGCCUGAUGCAGCAAUGCCGCGUGUAUGAAGAAGGCCUUCGGGUUGUAAAGUACUUUCAGCGGGGAGGAAGGGAGUAAAGUUAAUACCUUUGCUCAUUGACGUUACCCGCAGAAGAAGCACCGGCUAACUCCGUG
rnacentral:rRNA from 1 species